GAGAGAGAGCUUGCUUUCUCGAGCGAGUGGCGAACGGGUGAGUAACGCGUGAGGAACCUGCCUCAAAGAGGGGGACAACAGUUGGAAACGACUGCUAAUACCGCAUAAGCCCACGACCCGGCAUCGGGUUGAGGGAAAAGGAGCAAUCCGCUUUGAGAUGGCCUCGCGUCCGAUUAGCUAGUUGGUGAGGUAACGGCCCACCAAGGCGACGAUCGGUAGCCGGACUGAGAGGUUGAACGGCCACAUUGGGACUGAGACACGGCCCAGACUCCUACGGGAGGCAGCAGUGGGGAAUAUUGCACAAUGGGGGAAACCCUGAUGCAGCGACGCCGCGUGGAGGAAGAAGGUCUUCGGAUUGUAAACUCCUGUUGUUGAGGAAGAUAAUGACGGUACUCAACAAGGAAGUGACGGCUAACUACGUGCCAGCAGCCGCGGUAAAACGUAGGUCACAAGCGUUGUCCGGAAUUACUGGGUGUAAAGGGAGCGCAGGCGGGAAGGCAAGUUGGAAGUGAAAUCCAUGGGCUCAACCCAUGAACUGCUUUCAAAACUGUUUUUCUUGAGUAGUGCAGAGGUAGGCGGAAUUCCCGGUGUAGCGGUGGAAUGCGUAGAUAUCGGGAGGAACACCAGUGGCGAAGGCGGCCUACUGG
rnacentral:rRNA from 1 species